rnacentral:lncRNA from 1 species
GGAGGCCGGGAGGGGUCCCUGGGCGGGGAGUUGCUGCGCAUCUGUUGUGUGUGUGCGUCUGUCUGUCUGUUCAGGUCUGUUUUAGGCUGUGUCUGCCUGUCUCUCUGUCUGGGUCUCUUUCAGGCUGCGUCGGUCUGUCUGUCUGUCUGUCUGGGUCUGUUUCAGGCUGUGUCUGUCUGUCUGUCCGGGUCUGUUUCAGGCUGUGUCUGGGUCUGUUUCAGGCUGUGUCUGUCUGUCUGUCCGGGUCUGUUUCAGGCUGUGUCUGUCUGUCUGUCCGGGUCUGUUUCAGGCUGUAUGUGUGUCUGCUCUUUGCUUCUGCUCCUGGCUCUGUGUGUAUUUCCCG